UUUAAAUCCUUGACGACUAAAAAAUGAAAAAUACGACAGACAAAAUACGAAAUGGAGAGAUCUGAAAUUUGGCGUAAUAAUAUUUUGUAGCUAUUAAAAAAACAAACAAUACACGCAAGUCGAAAUGGAUGGCAUAUAAUGAAAAUCUCUAUAAAAAUUUGGCAUGAUAGUACUGCGGAUUUGCGGGGGUCCCGAAAUAAUUCCGUUAACGUCGACCGCGACAGAUUCAAGUACGGCUCUAAUAUUACUUCUGAAACCAAGGCUCCGCACCAAUGCGGAUUAACUGGUAAAUCUUCUGGAGGAAAAAUAUGCCAAUAGCCUCUGGACACUGAGCCCAUCCCGGGGGAAUGGUGGGAUUUUUUGACAGAUAUGAAAUUCCGAUUCACACUGGCACCAUCCACCAUCCGUCAAAAACAGCUGAUGGCAAUAAAAAGUACAUUAUAUUUGCGCGGAAGAUUUAUAAAUUUUUUGUAUUAUUUUUAGACCAUUAUUGUUUAGACCAUAAUGCAAAUUAUAAACUUAUUUAUAUUUCUCAGCACUUCCAAUAAAUCAGUAUGGAACUUUU